UGAAAAUGAUUAUACAUGUAUUUAAUUGGGAAUGCAGUUAAUUGCUUAAUAUUCCAUACCAGCAAGAACUCUGUUAUAAAAAGGCUACUCAGUUUAUCUUGGAACAAUCUCCUGGCACACCUGAAGUCCGCAGCGAUUAAGAGAUUUACAAACGCUAAGCGGCUGCGAAGCGAAAAGGUUAAUUGCUUUGUAAGCGGCUUGAUGAAAAAAUGUGUAACUAACCACGCGGCAGACCAAUGGAGCUGACAACGCUGCUGACGCCAAUGUUGAUGCUGAUACGAAGCUGACUCAACUUAAUUGGCGCACGAGGCGCAUACUUAAUGCGCUUAGAUGCGAGCCAAGCUCAUCGCAUCGCAUCGCCUCAUUGCUGUUGCCGUUGCAGAAGCCGCUUUUGUGCUUCUAAUUAGAUCCAAAAGGAAACCGUUGUGUGCUCAGUGCAUUUUCUUCACCAUGCAUUGGACACUCGCCUUCAAAGAGAAUUUUAAUUUAAACUCCAAAAAGACGCAAUAACAGUCAAAAGUGUUCAAUAAGUAAAUUAACUGUUAGAAGCACUUUUUGGUAUUUGUUUGUUAUGACAAUCUAUAAAUUUAUUCAUUGUAAAUUUGUCUGAUUUCGAAAGUAUAUUAAUAAAUUUGAUCUGUCAUAAA